rnacentral:rRNA from 1 species
AACGAACGCUGGCGGCAGGCUUAACACAUGCAAGUCGAACGGGUGUAGCAAUACAUCAGUGGCAGACGGGUGAGUAACACGUGGGAACCUUCCUCGUUGUACGGGACAACUCAGGGAAACUUGAGCUAAUACCGUAUACGUCCGAGAGGAGAAAGAUUUAUCGCAAUGAGACGGGCUCGCGUCGGAUUAGCUAGUUGGUAGGGUAACGGCCUACCAAGGCGACGAUCCGUAGCUGAUCUGAGAGGAUGAUCAGCCACACUGGGACUGAGACACGGCCCAGACUCCUACGGGAGGCAGCAGUGGGGAAUCUUGGACAAUGGGCGCAAGCCUGAUCCAGCCAUGCCGCGUGAGUGAAGAAGGCCUUAGGGUUGUAAAGCUCUUUUGCCAGGGACGAUAAUGACGGUACCUGGAGAAUAAGCCCCGGCAAACUUCGUGCCAGCCGCCGCGGUAAGAC